UACGAAGGGGGCUAGCGUUGCUCGGAAUCACUGGGCGUAAAGCGCACGUAGGCGGCUUUCUAAGUCAGGGGUGAAAUCCUGGAGCUCAACUCCAGAACUGCCUUUGAUACUGGAGAGCUUGAGUCCGGAAGAGGUGAGUGGAACUCCGAGUGUAGAGGUGAAAUUCGUAGAUAUUCGGAAGAACACCAGUGGCGAAGGCGGCUAUCUGGACGUGACACUGACGCUGAGGCGCGAAAGCGUGGUAGCAAACAGG
rnacentral:rRNA from 1 species